CGCACGGUGGCUUUAGUGGUUAGCAGGUUCGCCUCACACCUCCAGGGUCGGGGGUUCGAGUCCCGCCGCUGCCC